rnacentral:tRNA from 1 species
GCUCGGCUAGCGCAAUGGUAGCGCGUCAGACUUCUAAGAAGGUUUAUCUGAAGGUUGCGGGUUCGAGUCCCGCGCUGAGUG